rnacentral:lncRNA from 1 species
AAAAUGAAUCGUGCUUACAACUGAGGAACUAGCCUCCUUAAAUAGCUGAAAAUAAGAAUCUUAAAUAGUACAAAGUGGACAAUAGGUCAUUGUGGACUUUUGACUUCGGUUGUGAAUAGUAACCACCUAUGAAGUGAAUAGUGAAUAAUGAAUAGUAAAAUUGACUUUUGCUGUAGCACUUUUGACAUUUUAGCUAAAACAUCUUGC